GCUGACAGUGCUCUUAGCAGCCGCGGCCACAACACGACCUCAGUGACAGCAGCCACGGCGGGCCAGGAUCUGUGCUAAGGGUUUUCCAUGCCUCCGUUGCACGUACCCUAACAACCACCCAAGGAGGGGGUGUUGUCUUUGUAUCCCAGAACGGUUAAGCAGCUUACUUGGGAUCACACAAUCCACAGACUUCCCUUGUUGAGGUGAGGCAGCGCCUUCGACGUCUCUGACUCCUAGGCCAGGUGUGUGUCUAGCUCCGUGAUGGAAGGUGCCAGCUUCCCUUGUAAGUGACCAGCAUGGGCUCUGCUUCACCCUUCCGGGCUCCCAGCUUACCCAGACCUUAGCAGUCUGCUGACUCCAGCUUUCAGCAGAGCAGAAACAACGCCUUGGGAAGACUUAAAACAACUUUGAAUAAGAACCUGCUUGAGAAAGAUUUGCCUUACAAGCUAAAUGUUACAUUUCCACUCAACAGAAAGAUGAGCUCAGUCGUUGUUUGGCAAUUGAAAAUCUGAGUUGCGUCAGCACACUUCCCCAAAUCCCACUGCAGGCGGAGGAUGAUGAAGCUUUCCUUUCUGGGGUGUUUGUUUUACGUAAGUAGUGACUUACUUUUCAGAGGUAAAAAAAAAAAAAAAAUCUGUGUUGAUAUAUGUCUCCCUCAAACCAAAAAUAGGACUGGGGAUUGAUUUAAACGUUUGCAGUUCCCCAUUUGAAGAUGACAGAAAGCCCAUAUCGACUGGUUCUGCCUUUGUUUUUGUUUUUCACUAAUUUAUAUUCACAAAAUGAAGCCAUAAGCUUAGACCUCACCGAAUGGAAAACAGGCAUGGACUUCAGCAGGCAAUAUAUUAGCAUAUUUAUCAACAUCCUUUAGAUUUUUGCUUUCAUUUUUUAAAUUACCAUGUAAACUUGAAGAUAACCCCAGUUUUCCCAUUUGUGGGAACAUAAGAAAGGGAGAUGAAAAAAAAUAAUAUUUGUCCCUUAUCUAUGAAGUGCUUUUAUUUUUUAAAUUUUUUUUAUUACCUGAAGAACUACAUUAUCGUCAAUAUGAAGUGCUGUUUUUUUAAGCAUUAUGAUUAGACUUAAGGAUUCUAAGGACUAAAGUAUUAAGGUGUUUUUUGUUGUUAUUUGCUAAUCAUUAAUCAACUGUUUUACCUGAUUAAUUUUCUCUUUGGGAAAAUAGAUUGAGAUUGUGAUCUGGGAGACCAAAGUAGACAUUACUUUAUCAAUGAAGAAGGACCUUAAGGUUAACGAAACAAAAAGUUGGCCAGGUGAGGUGGCUCACGCCUGUAAUCCCAGCACUUUGGGAGGCAGAGGUGGGUGGAUCACGAGGUCAGGAGUUCAACACAAUCCUGGCCAACAUGGUGAAACCCCGUCUCUACUAAAAAUACAAAAUUAGCUGGGUACGGAGGCACACACCUGCAGUCCCAGCUACUCAGGAGGCUGAGGCAGGAGAAUUGCUUGUACCUAGGAGGCGGAGGUUGCAGUGAGCUGAGAUCAUGCCAGUGCACUCCAGCCUGUGUGAUGGAGCAAGACUCCGUCUCAAAAAAAAAAAAAAAGAAAAAAAAAUUUUACCUAUGGAUUGAGAGCUUAGGGCCCAGCUGGCCUUGCGAAUUUCUAAAUUCCUGUAAGAAAAUCCACACUCUUGCUAAACUCCCUAACAAUAGGAGCUAUUGGGCAAAUUAUCCUAACUCCAAUUUGCAAUCCAGACCACUACUAUUCUGAUUGGACAGAGGACAGGCCUUACAAACAUUCUUUUCUGAUGAGCAAUUGCAGACCUUAAGCCAGUUUCAGCCAGCUUAUAGAGGCUGCACACACACUGUCUUUGUGUCCUAUAGUUCACCUUUUGCCCCAAAGUGAAUAUGGGAUGUAUAUUACAUGUUUGUUUAUUCAUUGCUCCUGUGCUUGGCUCUCCUCAUAAAUAUGUAUAGCUUCUACCCCAAACCUGCUGAAUACGUAUGACUCUAUUGUGUAAUACAGACUCUCAGAGGAAUGAGACCCAACCUGUCCUUCCCCUGUUUGAAGAGAGAGCAUCUUUGGUCCAUGCUGGAGACUUUCUCUUCCAGCUUGCAACUGAUAUCACCAAUAAAGCUCUUCUUUCUACUAUUUAGUCAUCCUGGUGGUCUUUUGGAUUAUAAGUUUUUGUGUCCCAUAGUUAUACCCAUUGCUUAAGCUUGCCAUAUAGAAAAUGCCAUUCAUAGACACAGCUCUUCAUUUGAGUACUUAAAGGUAAGUUUAAAAUGUGGAAACAGGCUGGGCACAGUGGCUCACGCCUGUAAUCACAGCACUUUGGGAGGCUGAGGCUGGUGGAUCACCUGAGGUCAGGAGUUCAAGAUCAGCCUGGCCAACGUGGUGAAAACCCAUCUCUACCAAAAAUACAAAAAUUAGCUGGGCAUGGUGGCACGCACCUGUAAUCCCAGCUACUCAGCAGGCUGAGGCAGAAGAAUCACUUGAACCUGGGAGUCGAAGAUGGCAGUGAGCUGAGAUCAUGCCAUUGCACUCCAGCCUGGGUGACAGAGCGAGAAUCCAUCUCAAAAAAAAAAAAAAAAAAAAAAAAAGUGGAAACACCAUUUUGGAGGUUUUCUUUCAAUAACAAAGAUGUUGCCCAAAAGGAAAUACAUUUCUACGAUACCCUUUGGGUGUGACAGGGAAUUUUAUACACCUCCAUAAGGAAAGUGUAUAACAUUCUUGGGAGCUACCUUCAAGCAUUUACUGUACAGGGAAAAUGGAAGAUGGUCUACUGAAUGAGUGUCUCACUGUGGAUUGGUCCAGGAACCAGUUCAGCACAUGGUAGCAGCUAUUCCUUUUUAAAGUAAACUGAUGGAACUUUUGUUUCCUUUUGUUUCCUGAAACCUUUUGUUUCCUGAUUCUCUUGUUUUUGGCAAAUUCUUACUUGAAAAUAUUUUUGAACUAGAAUGUUUUGAGCUCGGAGAACCUGCAGAAACCAUCUUAUUUAUGGAUGCAGAAGGUAGCACAGAAAGGUUAAGGAACUUACCUAAAGUUACACAGCUAAUUUGUGGCAAAAGUGGGAUUCACUUCCAGGUUUAGUAUGUCAUUUGAAUCACGUCAUAACCUGCUUUGGAGAACAAAUUGAUCUAAAGAAUUGACUGUUCCAAAGAAUUUGGUUUAUAAAUCUUAAAAUCAUUUAGAUCACAAAAUGUCAUGAGAGAAAACACUGAGAAUAUAGAGAAAUGUUCAGAAUAUUAGAACAAAUUGAAGUUGUACCUAUUUCAAGAAAAAUAAAAUCUUUCCUAUAUCUUUAUGUGUAUAAUGAUUUUUAGAUUAUUUUUUAAAUUGCCAAAAUUCAAUUUGGCAAAGCAGUGAACUUUGAAACACAUGUUAAUAAACUGAAGUUUUAUUUACUGAUUUUCUAUAAACAAAUAAACACUGAAAUGUUAUCUAUAAUAAUGAAUAUUCUUGUGUUCCUGGAACACAUUGAAAUAUUGUGUUGUAAUAAAAUAAAAAUUACAGUGCUGUAGAGGUUAGCAUUGGAGGUUAACGUAUUAUUUCGAUGUAUAAAAUAUAGUAUUGAACAAAACAGACAUAAAUCAGCAUAUGGUGGGAUUCCAUUCAUAUGAAAUGCAAAAAUGGGUGUAUUAGUCUGUUCUCACAUGGCUAUAAGGAGAUACCUGAACCUGGAUAAUUUAUAAAGAAAAAAGGUUUAAUUGGCUCACAGUUUUGUAGGCUGUACAGGAAGCAUGGCUGAGGAGGCCUCAGGAAACUUACAAUCAUGGUGGACGGUGAAGGGGAAGCAGGCUUAUCUUAUAUGGACAGAGAAGGAGGAAGAGAGUGAAGUGGGAGGUGCUACCCACUUUUAAACCACCAGAUCUUCUGAGAACUCACUGUCACGAGAAGAGCAAAUUGGGAAAUCUGCCCCUUUGAUCCAGUCAUCUCCCACGAGGCCCCUCCUCCAACACUGGGGAUUUCAGCUCAACAUGAGAUUUGGGCAGGGAUGAAAAUCCAAACCCUAACAAUGGGCAAAACCAAUUUAGACUGUUACAAGUCAGGAUGGUGGCUGUUCUUGGGAUGGGUUCCCGGAAUUGCUGGAACUGGGUGUGAGGGGCUGGUCAUGUUUCUUGAUCUAGGUUCUGGUUACAUAUGUGUGUUCAGUUUGUGAAAGUUUAUCAAAUUGUGCAUUACUACCUAUGUAGUUUUCUGAAUAUAUAUUAUACUUCAAUAAAAUGUUUUAAAAAUAUGUAUAUCAUAUAUCAUUUCAUCUUAGAAACAGAACACGUUAAUAAGUGACUAGUUUUUGGAAGAAAUUAUUAUAGCAUAAGUUUUAAAAAAAGAUGUUGGGGUGGGGUUUUUAACUUUCCAUAAUGCUGUAAAGUUUGCAACACUCACACAGUCAUAGAACAAAUAGAACUUUGACUUUGGUUUCAAAAUUUAUGCAGCUGCCUCCAUAUACUUUUGACAGUUUAAUCACAUAUUUAACAGUUACAAAGCAUGUUUUAGACAUCAAGAGGAUACAUGGAGAUGGUGGUAGGGCUUAUAUACCCAUGGUCGUGUAAAACAGGAA
rnacentral:lncRNA from 1 species